GGAGCUAUAGCUCAGUCGGUAGAGCAACGGACUGAAAAUCCGUGUGUCACUGGUUCAAUUCCAGUUAGCUCCA
rnacentral:tRNA from 1 species